rnacentral:ncRNA from 1 species
GAGAGCCGUAUACAUUGAGAGGUGUACGUACGGUUCGGGGGCGAGCGUUCGGAAACCUGCUGUUGUGAGACAGUAAGGCGCUGGGCGCUUAGCCUAC